GUUUAAUAUCUGAUACGUCCUCUAUC
rnacentral:piRNA from 4 species